AAACUAGAUAGAGCUAUAAAACUUCCUGCUCGGUGGAGAUGACGCCUGCCGGCCUCUCCCUCCUCUUCUUCACCACUUUGAUAACACAACACGGCUCCUCAUGAACUCCGCCACUGAAUUAAUUCUCGACGCUGACAGGAAUAUUCAAUCCGACGCACGAGCCGGUGUCUCCAGUCCAUGUUAACUAAGGGCCGCCGCCGCCGCUUGUGACGGGUGCAGAUGUCAGAGACACUCCAUCAGUUAGUAGUAAUAUGCCAUCACGCCACACUGACCUCAGGGAAAUUGAGUCUUUAAUCACGACAUCUCCAGACCCAGACUCCUGGAGAAUUAGCAUUCCUCCGAUGCCAUCUAAUCUCGCAGCUUCUCCUGCCAAUCCAUUCAGAGAGAGGACAGUGUUUGACUUUGUGCCGCCGCGUGUCAGUGCAGGUCUGAUCGAUGGGAACAGGCGUCGGAGGCUGUGUGAUGUGUCUGUGCUGGUGACUCUUCAUAUAUAUUCACAUAAACACAACACAGGGAAUAGUGAGUGGUUUUCUUCUAUGGUCUCAGAUCGUUGUGGAUGUUAGUGGACGCUGAGGUUUUCUUCUGAUUUGAAACUGAAGGGGUUUCUUCGGGGGAGAUUUCAAGCAUAAAGGAUGGAUUGCUUCACUGUUUGUCCGCCCAGGUCUCUCCCUCUGUGAACCGGACAGGAGGGUCUCUGAAGGGUUUAAAGUGCUGACCGGCCAGAAGCCAUUACAGCUCACUGAGUGGACGGCCGGCAAAUUGGUGGGCUCGCAGGAGCAGUAAAUAAGACGGAGACCCUUGUUUUUUGUUGCCUGGUGGUGAUGUCGAGUCAGAGUCAGAACGUGACUUCAGGAUUCCCAGCAUAAAUAGAGUCCACACACUCCCCCUAUAAUUGUGUUGGAACAUUAAACCAAUAGAUUUUUCCGUCUCGUAUUUGUUUUCUGUUUAAUUCUGUCAUGAGCGGGAUAUUAGGUGAUGUAACUCGCGUCUGUAUUGAUUAAAUCUUCAGGGCCAAUAUUUAAAAACUGCUGAUGUCUCGUUUCCUGUCUGGCUCAAACACGCACGUCCCAUAAAACCCAAAUUACAGUCGUCAUGUUGAAAUAAAUCCAGACUGGAAGAUGUAUCAUUAACCCGAGGGGAAGUGGGGAGCAGCGACAAUAUAACACCAGCCUAAUUUUAUCAUUACUGAUGACGGCCAUUAGCAUUAAGGUUUUUCAUUAUCAUAAUCGUUAUUACAGCAGCAAUAACAUUAACUGUGACCACAGGGAGAGUCGGAGGAGGAUCCUGUUAGAAUUAAUUAUUCAUGAGGCGGCUGAAGCUGCUUCCAGACACUGAACUCCAAAGACUUUCUGCAGGAUUUCUACAACCAGCCCCCGAGUGUAAAGUCCACAGGAAGUGAGUAAGGGAGCAUGGAUGUAGCUUAACUCUGCUGGGCAACUAAUAAACAUCAGAAUGUCAAACUA